rnacentral:misc_RNA from 1 species
UCUCCGUUGGUGAACCAGCGGAGGGAUCAUUACCGAGUUUACAACUCCCAAACCCAAUGUGAACCAUACCAAAUUGUUGCCUCGGCGGGGUCACGCCCCGGGUGCGUCGCAGCCCCGGAACCAGGCGCCCGCCGGAGGGACCAACCAAACUCUUUCUGUAGUCCCCUCGCGGACGUUAUUUUUACAGCUCUGAGCAAAAAUUCAAAAUGAAUCAAAACUUUCAACAACGGAUCUCUUGGUUCUG